UACGUAGGCAGCGAGCGUUGUUCGGAGUUACUGGGCGUAAAGGGUGCGUAGGCGGUUGUUUAAGUUUGGUGUGAAAUCUCCCGGCUCAACUGGGAGGGUGCGCCGAAUACUGAAUGACUAGAGUGCGGGAGAGGAGAGUGGAAUUCCUGGUGUAGCGGUGAAAUGCGUAGAUAUCAGGAGGAACACCGGUGGUGUAGACGGCUCUCUGGGCCGUAACUGACGCUGAGGCACGAAAGCGUGGGUAGCAAACAGG
rnacentral:rRNA from 1 species